rnacentral:lncRNA from 1 species
UGAGCGUAAAUAAAACACCUUUUAUCUAAGCACCAUAUUGAUCACUCAUUAUUCAUGUUUCGAUUAAUCAACUUAAUACUUGAAUUGAAACAGUAGUGAUGCCAUGCUCCAAGCAUGCAUACUAUGUUUCUCUAAACAAUAGCUAUGCCAUACUCCAAGUAUGCACACUAUGUUUACAUAUGGUCAUCUCUUUGUGAAAUGUAUAUCAAUUGAACAUGACUUCAAUGAUUCUCAUUUCACAAUCCCAAUCCUUAUUGUAAAUGUAAGAAUACCAAGUUCUUGUCAUUUACCGUAAUCUAUGCAAUGAUCCUCUUGUAAUGAUAUUCACACAAGUCACAAAGACUUGGCAACAAACGCUACAAAGUAUUCCAAUGGAAAGCAAUUCCAUGGAGAUGAAGUCUCAAAUUCAAAGUACAUUCCUUUGAACAUCCUUCUUUGCAUUAAGUUCUUUAAUCUUACACAGAUUCAAAAAAUAACUUCCACCUAUGGAAAAAAUUCCAUAUUCCCAUAUUGACCAUCACUUUUGAACAACAGUUGCCUCUUUCCAAAAUAUGUCAAUACGAUCCUUACUCUAUACUUCCAAUUGUCCAUGAGUAACCAAACUUUGGAAAACCCCAAAUUGUUCUCGACAAUUGCUUAAUCAUCUUAGUCAUAUCCAGUUCUAAUCCCUUUUCCCUUCUUAACGCCCUAAGCAUUAGGAAAAUUUAGAAUGGAUGAAUAUUAUAACACAUGCAAUCGAUCCUAUAUCCGAAGCAUAUGGGAUACGAUUCAUGCUAUAAAAUUUUUAUUUGCCAUGUUCUCAUAAUUCGAACUAUGAAGAGGGAUGCCGUAAUCAUAAUCGAAUUUUGAGAAAGCAACAUAUAUAGAAAUUCCUUAUGUUGAACCAUUCCAACAUAACAUUCAUAUAUAUUCUUGACUAAAGUUGAUUAAAAUCUCAAUCUAAGCUUGUAAAAUUGGAAUGAAGUAUAAAUUUCUCUCCCUUAAUUAUAGUAAAACAACUUUUCCAAAGCGAGUUGAAACAUUUGUUUUCUAUAAUUAACAUUGCUAACUCGCAACAUAAUCAUCAUGCUCCCACUAGCAUAAUGAUUAUUAUCUAACUAGCAUAACACUUUAUGCUCCUAAUAGCUUUGACAUGUACCUAGAAAUCAGUCAGAUUUCUGAUACUAGAUUGCCUUGAUAAGACUUUAUCAAAUCAUACACCUGGAGUCUAAACCUUUCCUUAGAUAGCUCACAUGUGAGUCUAAACCUUUUCAUUCUCAUUAGUUAGUGUGACGGUUAACCACGCAUGCUCCANGUCAAAACAUUCAAAGUGAAACACAAAAUAAUACUAGUCCUAUAUGGCCUUAACACUUUGAGCGUAAAUAAAACACCUUUUAUCUGAGCACUAUAUUGAUCACUCAUUAUUCAAGUUUCGAUUAAUCAACUUAAUACUUGAAUUGAAAUAGUAGUGAUGCCAUGCUCCAAGCAUGCAUACUAUGUUUCUCUAAACAAUAUCUAUGCCAUACUCCAAGUAUGCACACUAUGUUUACAUGUGGUCAUCUCUUUGUGAAAUGUAUAUCAAUUGAACAUGACUUCAAUGAUUCUCAUUUCACAAUCCCAAUCCUUAUUGUAAAUGUAAGAAUACCAAGUUCUUGUCAUUUACCGUAAUCUAUGCAAUGAUCCUCUUGUAAUGAUAUUCACACAAGUCACAAAGACUUGGCAACAAACAUUACAAAGUAUUCCAAUGGAAAGCAAUUCCAUGGAGAUGAAGUCUCAAAUUCAAAGUACAUUCCUUUGAACAUCCUUCUUUGCAUUAAGUUCUUUAAUCUUACACAGAUUCAAAGAAUAACUUCCACCUAUGGAAACAAUUCCAUAUUCCCAUCUUGACCAUCACUUUUGAACAAGAGUUGCCUCUUUCCAAAAUAUGUCAAUACGAUCCUUACUCUAUACUUCCAAUUGUCCAUGAGUAACCAAACUUUGGAAAACCCC